rnacentral:rRNA from 1 species
UACGUAGGGUGCAAGCGUUGUCCGGAAUUAUUGGGCGUAAAGAGCUCGUAGGCGGUCUGUCGCGUCGGCUGUGAAAACCCGGAGCUCAACUCCGGGCCUGCAGUCGAUACGGGCAGACUAGAGUGUGGUAGGGGAGACUGGAAUUCCUGGUGUAGCGGUGAAAUGCGCAGAUAUCAGGAGGAACACCGAUGGCGAAGGCAGGUCUCUGGGCCACUACUGACGCUGAGAAGCGAAAGCAUGGGGAGCGAACAGG